UACGUAGGGUGCGAGCGUUGUCCGGAAUUAUUGGGCGUAAAGAGCUCGUAGGCGGUGUGUCGCGUCGGCCGUGAAAACCUGCAGCUUAACUGUGGGCGUGCGGUCGAUACGGGCAUCACUGGAGUUCGGCAGGGGAGACUGGAAUUCCUGGUGUAGCGGUGAAAUGCGUAGAUAUCGGGAGGAACACCAGUGGCGAAGGCGGCGACCUGGACAGAUAUUGACGCUGAGGUGCGAAAGCGUGGGGAGCAAACAGG
rnacentral:rRNA from 1 species